GUCUCCUUAGCUCAGCUGGUAGAGCAUCUGACUCUUAAUCAGGUGGUCGUUGGUUCGAUCCCAACAGGGGACACCA
rnacentral:tRNA from 6 species